GCAAACUUGGUCAUUUAGAGGAAGUAAAAGUCGUAACAAGGUAACCGUAGGUGAACCUGCGGUUGGAUCAUUACAAAAUUUGAUUGAGAUUGUUGGUCUUUCGGGACCUUCAACUCUCUUCAACACCAUGUGAACUGUUUAUGUCUUUGGCAAGUUAUGCUAGUGUUCGUGAAGGAAAAGUCAGUUUGAUUUUUUUUUUGAGCAUUAGCAGAGUUUCAAAUUCCCAACCAAAGGCCUCUAGUUUAGAGGUCGGGAACUUUGAAAGCUUGCCCCUUGUAUUAAAAAUUAUUUGUUCAUUUGACUGACAAAUAAAUUAUGUUUAAAUUAUUAAACAACUUUUGGCAACGGAUCUCUUGGCUCUCGCAUCGAUGAAGAACGCAGC
rnacentral:misc_RNA from 1 species